UACGUAGGGGGCGAGCGUUGUCCGGAAUGACUGGGCGUAAAGGGCGUCUAGGCGGCUUUCUGCGUGGGAGGUUAAAGGCGCCGGCUCAACCGGCGAAGGGCCUUCCAAACGGGGGAGCUUGAGGACAGGAGAGGGAUGCGGAAUUCCCGGUGUAGCGGUGAAAUGCGUAGAGAUCGGGAAGAACACCAGUGGCGAAGGCGGCAUCCUGGCCUGGACCUGACGCUGACGCGCGAAAGCGUGGGGAGCGAACGGG
rnacentral:rRNA from 1 species